rnacentral:misc_RNA from 1 species
UUAAGUUCAGCGGGUAGUCCUACCUGAUUUGAGGUCACAUUAAAUGAAAAGUUGUCCAAGUCAAUGGACUGUUAGAAGCUGAACUCUGCCUUCACCGUCAAUAGCGUAGAUAGUUAUCACACCAAUGAAUGGGAGUCGACAAAUUGUUCCACUAAUACAUUUCAGGGGAGCCCAACCUCAAAAAGGCCAGCAAAAAAAAC